UACGCAUUAUGAUAUUGGAUGACUUACAACCACUAACUAGUUGCCACGCUUUGAAUAUGAGCAUAUCACUGCAAGGACAGUACAUCUAGAAAAAGGCUGACAUCAGAAAUGCUAUACAGUGAAAACAAAUCUUUAUUGCAUUUACCUGAUGAUAUUUCACUGAGGGGACUGGUAAACUGAAAAUCAGUGGCAUGUUGCAGAACCACCUGCAUCUGACCUACCAGCUUACAUCACGCCCACUUUAAGGCAUGCUGUAUCCACCUCAUGGCAUGUCACAGGCCACUUUUUUAUCUCAGCGCUGGUGGGAAAUCUUGUGUCUUGAGCCAUAUUCACACGUCCACAAAACUCCUAAAAAUUGCAGAAAUGUUCAGGUUGAGCUGUUUGUGUGAACACAAAGAGUUGAAAUGUUCAACCUGACUUUUUUCCUAAUAACAUUUCCACAAAAAGUCAGCGAGACCUCAAGCGAGUGGGCGUGGAUGCAACUUUGGAGAAUUAGGGGCUGAGUUGCCAUAUGAGGAUGUGAAUGACACAGGAGUUUACUACAGCAGAUCAGUAAACAUGUAGAACUACAAAUCAUCAUCAGAAGCUAUCAAAAGGAUCUUUCAAAAUGUCACCUUCCUUAUUUGUCCAAUUACAAUACCUCAAGUCAUUCUUAUUGUAGUCUAGAAGUAUUAUCAACAUGCUGUUUAAAAAGGUUAUUCAUCAUUUUUUAUUGUUUAAGGGAAGUAAAAAGAUCUUGGGUUAAAUAUCAAGGUGUGAGAGGGCAUGUCUGUGUUUGAUUGACAGCAGCUGGCAGGCUGAGCUUCGGCAGGGGACAUGGUCACUCAGUAAUUGAUGAAGAAAACACAAGAUUUUAACAAAGCAUGAUCCAGGACCCAAAGAACAAACAUUUAACGUUGAGUUAUUACUCAGACGUACCAGAUGACAUUUUUUCUCGCCAUAUCUAUAUAGUUUUUUUAACCUAACCCAACAGACCAUUCAAUUAAACAAAGUAAGACCUGAAGUAAAUAAAUACUACAAUGUCCGUCUGUAUGACAUGCAACAAUGCUAUUAGAUGCUGCUUUAUGAGGUUCAAAGUGAGUCCUUCUCUGCUGUGGCAGCUGUUGCUGGUGACCCUCAGACCCACCUACCAGGUGAUACUGACUGCAAUGAAAACUAAAAUGAGAGAAGUCCCUGAUACCAUAAGUAAAAUGUGUUGAGCUGGACCAUGCAGCAGGAAUGUGCUCAGACUGGACCAAAGUGGUGUUUGCAGAGUGAGGACGAGUGGAGAUGAAGAGGGUGAUGAGAGAGAAGAAAGGGGAAAGGUGUAGGUGUGGAGGAAAAGAAAGCAGAGCCAGGAUGGGAGGAUGAUGAGCGUGGGAGUCCUGUGGCAGGUGUUUGAAGAUGCUGAACGCAGAUGAUGAGACAGGGCUGUCACAUUUCCUAACAAGGUUCUCUCCUUUUUUCCUUCCCCUGUCUCAAUGAGUGUGUCCACGCGCUUCCCCACCCUUCCCUCUCUCCCCCUCCCUGCCUCCGCCUGCGGUGUUCAGCGAGAGUGACGCCUCAGCACUGCGGUGUAAUCUCUGGCCCUCGAGCUGCCUCGUCACAGCCAGCCGAUUGGACGUAGUGCUCAGAGCAGGAGGAAGAAUGGACCCUCCCCCGGCAGAUUUCCCUGCUAAACAAAGCCCCCCCACUCGUCCCUCAGUGACAGAGACCCCCCCCCCCCCCGCCUGCCUGUGACGCUCAGUGGGCUCCUUACAAACUACCAGUGAAUACCUGAGGGGGGCAGUUUGCCAGGUGUUGCCUUGGCCGGGAAUUAGUGACCAGAAGGAGCCACACAUGGUUAAAGAACUGGAGCAUCACUAAUCAUUAAUAUAUGUUUUUGGGAAAAGAAUAUGCAACAACAUAUUUACACAUCUGGACAGUGAGAUGUGACUGAAGGCCCCAAAAAAUGUAGAAAUGGACCUUUAAGCUUUGGUUAUUUAGCCACAUACAGAUUUCCCAUCAUUCCACAUUUGUUUUCCUCUUCUUGAGUCAAUGGUCACAGGAAAAUAGGACUUCUAGCUAUUAUUUGCCAUAUUGAUCAAUCUGCCAAUUAUUACUUUUGAUGAAUCUUUGGUUCUACAGAACACCGAAGCCUAAGGCCUUGUGGUUCAAUCAGCUCAUUCAUCUGAGCAACAUCAGAAAAUAUAUGAAGUAUUGGCUCUGUGAAUUUAAGCACACACACAUACACUGUUGUGUAGUUGUUUAUUAGCAGAGAUUUCAGAAGCCUGGUAGCUCUGUAUCGGUCAUUAAAACACAUUUAUAAUGCAUAA